rnacentral:ribozyme from 14 species
UUGGAAAAAAGAACUUAAAAAAAAUAAAAAUUGAAAAUUGAAAACGGAGUUAUCGUUCCCUUUCCUUUUUCCUUCUCUGCUUCUGUUUCUGUCUCCGUUUCUGUCUUUGUUUCUGUCUCCG